UGUGCUAAAUACCGCAUAAUCUCUCAGGAGAAAGGCAGGGGAUCGCAAGACCUUGCGCUUUAGGAGCGGCCGAUGCCUGAUUAGCUUGUUGGUAAGGUAAAAGCUUACCAAGGCUUCGAUCAGUAGCUGGUCUGAGAGGACGACCAGCCACACUGGGACUGAGACACGGCCCAGACUCCUACGGGAGGCAGCAGUGGGGAAUUUUGAACAAUGGGGGAAACCCUGAUCCAGCCAUGCCGCGUGAGUGAAGAAGGCCUUCGGGUUGUAAAGCUCUUUCAGCCGGAACGAAACGGU
rnacentral:rRNA from 1 species